ensembl:lncRNA
AACGUCUCUGCCCCCGCCCAGUUCUUUUUUCUCUUACAUACCCAUUAUGUUAAUAAAUUAUCUUAUAAAAUGUCACUACUCUGUCACUUUAAGCCAGGCCCCGGUCCAGAGAGCCAAUGUUACCAACAUUUCUCCUUCGGUCUUCACGGAUGUAUGUGUAUAAGUGUGUCAUUUGUUUUGUGUGACUUUUAGAAACAUGAACCGCGCCAUGCUGUAUUUUCUGUUUGACUUGUCUGUCCUUUUCCUCUCUGUGCCCUGUGGAGCUCCUUUUAAACGUUUCUGCCUCUUCCUCCCAGCUGAUGCGGCUAGCAUCAGAACCUUUCCCUUGUUUUCACUCAGCUCUUGAAAUGACUUCAUGGCACAAGCCAACAUCUAACUGGGUUUGUAUUCACGGGGCGAGUUGAAACAGGCACACGCGUUAUGGCUGACUGGAGUGUCACUAACAACACAGAGGAACUGGAGUAUCAGGCGGCCCAUAGGCGGCCCAUAGCAGCACCGUGAGCACAGAGACCCAGCGCAGGCGCGCUGUGUUCUCACCAUUUAUCGUUAGCCCCCUGCCUCCGGGUGGUUAACCCCCACUCUCCAGUCCUUUAUUCCUUACACCUCAGAUAUUAGUAGCCGACUCACAAAGGCGAUUGUUGUAAAGACGAAUCGCAAACCUGGUGUACUGAGCGCUUUCACUUCUGGGAUGGUCUUUCAGAGGAAGUACGUCACUGUGGCUCGAGGGAGGGUGGUUAAGGAAUGGAGCUAUGGGUGUGGUUGGUAGCCUGGAAAGUCCCGGAGGAUGGACAAGGGGAUGCACAGCUGUGAUCCAAACCCUUGGGAGACUGAAGAAGCCAGUCUGUCCCACACCGGGAGACUCUGUCCAAAACAAAACAGAAACAACAGUAACAAAACUGGAGAAUGCCAGCCGGGAAGACUGUUGAUUAGCGGUGUUUCUUGUGAGUCCAUUUGUGUUGAAGUUUGGGCCAAGGAUGUGGGGCCGUAAAGCCUUGAGAAGCGACACAGCAAGCCAAAGGACUAAGGAAGAUGGACGCCUAACACUUUCAGUCUAGGGGGCCAAUGACCUGGCUCUGGAACCACCAGCAGAAAGGUUCGCCCCUGAAGAGAAUGAGAUGCUGUGCCUUCUCUUCCCAGAACUCAGCCACAAGUGCUUUUCUUUUAGGAUCUUAGAAAAAAAAAUGUAACUUUUCCUUUGUUCUAUCUUGGCUGCAAGUGGCUGCCCGCUGCUCUGUGUGUGUGUGUGACCUCCAACCUCAGAUUAGCUGGAAUGGGAUGGGGUUGUUUCUUCUUUUUCUCUUCUCCAGUCCCCUCUGGGAAGCUACUGAGAUUUCCAGCUUCUCUUCCUGGUCCUUUUGUUUGCUUGUUUGUUUGUUUGUUUUAACUUCUGAUACAAUUGUCCUUUAUCUUCUGUUUGCAUCCUAAAGUAUUUUCUUAAAGAGACUAAGAAUCCCAAGAGGGGACACCAAUUUCCCCAGGACUGGCGAGAUGGUUCACCGAGGAAAAGUACCCACUGUGCAAGCCUGAGAACUGGAGUCUGAGACCCAGUGAUGUGUUUAUAAAGAGAUAAGGAGAGAAGGGGGAAUCUGUUCCAUGGGGGUGUGGUGAGGUACGGGGGAACAGGAUGUCUCAGCGGCCCCAGGCAGAGGCAUCCCUUCCCCCUGAGGGACCAGCCACAGGACAGUAUAGAAUAGAAUAGUUUAAUCAGGGCAUGGGGAGGGGAGUUAAGAGGGUAGUAGAAUCACCAUGGCGCACGCACGCCUUUAAUCCCAGCACUUGGGAGGCAGAGGCAGGUGGAUUUCUGAGUUUGAGGCCAGCCUGCUCUACAGAGUGAGUUCCAGGACAGCCAGGGCUACACAGAGAAACCCUGAUUUGAAAAAACAAAACAAAACAAAAAGAGGGUGAGAGAGAAGUAGAGGAGGCUGGCCAUGACC